GAUGAACGCUGGCGGCGUGCCUAAUACAUGCAAGUCGAGCGAACGGACGAGAAGCUUGCUUCUCUGAUGUUAGCGGCGGACGGGUGAGUAACACGUGGAUAACCUACCUAUAAGACUGGGAUAACUUCGGGAAACCGUAGCUAAUACCGGAUAAUAUUUUGAACCGCAUGGUUCAAAAGUGAAAGACGGUCUUGCUGUCACUUAUAGAUGGAUCCGCGCUGCAUUAGCUAGUUGGUAAGGUAACGGCUUACCAAGGCAACGAUGCAUAGCCGACCUGAGCGGGUGAUCGGCCACACUGGAACUGAGCCACGGUCCAGACUCCUACGGGAGGCAGCAGUAGGGAAUCUUCCGCAAUGGGCGAAAGCCUGACGGAGCAACGCCGCGUGAGUGAUGAAGGUCUUCGGAUCGUAAAACUCUGUUAUUAGGGAAGAACAUAUGUGUAAGUAACUGUGCACAUCUUGACGGUACCUAAUCAGAAAGCCACGGCUAACUACGUG
rnacentral:rRNA from 1 species